ACCGGCGCACGGGUGCGUAACGCGUAUGCAAUCUACCUUGUACAGGGGGAUAGCCCAGAGAAAUUUGGAUUAAUACCCCAUAGUAUUAUUGAAUGGCAUCAUUUAAUUAUUAAAGUUCCAACGGUACAAGAUGAGCAUGCGUCCCAUUAGCUAGUUGGUGUGGUAACGGCAUACCAAGGCGACGAUGGGUAGGGGUCCUGAGAGGGAGAUCCCCCACACUGGUACUGAGACACGGACCAGACUCCUACGGGAGGCAGCAGUGAGGAAUAUUGGUCAAUGGGCGCAAGCCUGAACCAGCCAUGCCGCGUGCAGGAUGACGGUCCUAUGGAUUGUAAACUGCUUUUGUACAGGAAGAAACACUCCCUCGUGAGGGAGCUUGACGGUACUGUAAGAAUAAGGAUCGGCUAACUCCGUGCCAGCAGCCGCGGUAAUACGGAGGAUCCAAGCGUUAUCCGGAAUCAUUGGGUUUAAAGGGUCCGUAGGCGGUUUUAUAAGUCAGUGGUGAAAUCUGGUCGCUCAACGAUCAAACGGCCAUUGAUACUGUAGAACUUGAAUUACUUGGAAGUAACUAGAAUAUGUAGUGUAGCGGUGAAAUGCUUAGAGAUUACAUGGAAUACCAAUUGCGAAGGCAGGUUACUACGAGUUAAUUGACGCUGAUGGACGAAAGCGUGGGGAGCGAACAGGAUUAGAUACCCUGGUA
rnacentral:rRNA from 1 species